rnacentral:rRNA from 1 species
GCAGUCGAGCGAAUGGAUUGAGAGCUUGCUCUCAAGAAGUUAGCGGCGGACGGGUGAGUAACACGUGGGUAACCUGCCCAUAAGACUGGGAUAACUCCGGGAAACCGGGGCUAAUACCGGAUAACAUUUUGAACUGCAUGGUUCGAAAUUGAAAGGCGGCUUCGGCUGUCACUUAUGGAUGGACCCGCGUCGCAUUAGCUAGUUGGUGAGGUAACGGCUCACCAAGGCAACGAUGCGUAGCCGACCUGAGAGGGUGAUCGGCCACACUGGGACUGAGACACGGCCCAAACUCAUACGGGAGGCAGCAGUAGGGAAUCUUCCGCAAUGGACGAAAGUCUGACGGAGCAACGCCGCGUGAGUGAUGAAGGCUUUCGGGUCGUAAAACUCUGUUGUUAGGGAAGAACAAGUGCUAGUUGAAUAAGCUGGCACCUUGACGGUACCUAACCAGAAAGCCACGGCUAACUACGUGCCAGCAGCCGCGGUAAUACGUAGGUGGCAAGCGUUAUCCGGAAUUAUUGGGCGUAAAGCGCGCGCAGGUGGUUUCUUAAGUCUGAUGUGAAAGCCCACGGCUCAACCGUGGAGGGGUCAUUGGAAACUGGGAGACUUGAGUGCAGAAGAGGAAAGUGGAAUUCCAUGUGUAGCGGUGAAAUGCGUAGAGAUAUGGAGGAACACCAGUGGCGAAGGCGACUUUCUGGUCUGUAACUGACACUGAGGCGCGAAAGCGUGGGGAGCAAACAGGAAUUAGAUACCCUGGUAGUCCACGCCGU